rnacentral:tmRNA from 1 species
CCUCUUCCAACCCGGCGUGCGAGCGCCUAUAUUCCCUGUGCCGGUGCAAGCCGGCUAUGGCGAUAAACGGACAUCGUAAUAAACCCAUCGGACCCGGGGGCAGUACCCGGCGCCUCCACCCAAGCCCAUCCCACGCGGUGGGUUUCGGCGGGGGCGAAACAGGAUCGACGAGGGCGUAAAGGAUCUUCUUUCGCUCGGCAUGGUACCGCCGUCAUCGGACCAAACUUAUAGUUGCCAACGACAACUAUGCUCCGGUUGCUCAGGCCGCGUGAGCGGUUUGAUCUCUGGGAAAUAAGUCCUUGCGGGUAGCACUGUAAGGCGGGGUUCGGAGGCACCUGGCAACAGAAGCCUCCACU